rnacentral:rRNA from 1 species
CCUACGGGAGGCAGCAGUGAGGAAUAUUGGUCAAUGGGCGGGAGCCUGAACCAGCCAAGCCGCGUGAGGGAAGAAGGUACAGCGUAUCGUAAACCUCUUUUGUCAGGGAACAAAGGCGGGGACUAGUCCCCGGAUGAGUGUACCUGAAGAAAAAGCAUCGGCUAACUCCGUGCCAGCAGCCGCGGUAAUACGGAGGAUGCGAGCGUUAUCCGGAUUUAUUGGGUUUAAAGGGUGCGCAGGCGGCCUGUUAAGUCAGCGGGAAAAGCCCGGGGCUCAACCCCGGCGAGCCGUUGAAACUGGCGGGCUGGAGUUGGAGAGAAGUACGCGGAAUGCGCGGUGUAGCGGGGAAAUGCUUAGAUAUCACGAAGAACUCCGAUUGCGAAGGCAGCUUACUAAACUGCCACUGACAUGGAUGCUCGAAAGUGUGGGUAUCAAACAGGAUUAGAUACCCCGGUAGUC